AGCAACGGCCUGGCAACGGUUUCCCUGCUGCUGCAGCCCCCGUCGGCUCCUCUUUUCCAGUCCUCCACUGCCGGGGCUGGGCCCGGCCGCGGGAAGGACCGAAGGGGAUACAGCGUGUCCCUGCGGCGGCUGCAAGAGGACUAAGCAUGGAUGGCAGCCGGAGAGUCAGAGCAACCUCUGUCCUUCCCAGAUAUGGUCCACCGUGCCUAUUUAAAGGACACUUGAGCACCAAAAGUAAUGGCGUUCUUGAGAUUAGAGAAUUUUGGAGUCUAUGAUUUCAAACUAUUAUUGUGCCCUGGAUGUGGACUUGGCUGUCUCCUGCUCCCAGCUGCUACAGCAGCCCAGCUCUACUUUUGCCAGGAAACUACCCUGAUUUAAGGCAUACCUGCCUUGUUAAAAUGCUUUUUGCACUGACUCCUCUUCUCUCAGACUAAGCACUCUCCAGCUGGUCAAGAAUCACAUGGCUGUUCACUAUAAUAAAAUCCUUUCAGCCAAAGCUGCAGUAGACUGCUCGGUUCCAGUAAGCGUGAGUACCAGCAUAAAGU
rnacentral:lncRNA from 1 species